rnacentral:rRNA from 1 species
UACGUAGGGUGCGAGCGUUAAUCGGAAUUAUUGGGCGUAAAGAGCUCGUAGGCGGCUUGUCACGUCGGGUGUGAAAGCCCGGGGCUUAACCCCGGGUCUGCAUUCGAUACGGGCUAGCUAGAGUGUGGUAGGGGAGAUCGGAAUUCCUGGUGUAGCGGUGAAAUGCGCAGAUAUCAGGAGGAACACCGAUGGCGAAGGCAGGUCUCUGGGCAUUAACUGACGCUGAGGAGCGAAAGCAUGGGGAGCGAACAGG